GAACAGAGCGCCCCCCCGGCAGAAAGUGACUUCUGCUCCACCACUCAGAGGGAUUUCUGUGUGGAGGGGUUUGUGCCGCUCACACCUGAACUAACACAAGCUCACGAUUAUAAAUCUGACGCAGGGGUUACAUUCUGGAGCGAAAACCGCCAUCAGAUACAUGGUGUGACCGCCGUGCAGACCCUGGAAGCUCCCUUCAGGAAGUCAGCCAAGUUCAGCACACCCAUUAGUGAGCGUCUGGACGAACCUGAGCUCCCACCUGAUAACUGAGACAGUAUGACACAUGAUCAAAUUUCAUCUAUUCAUUAUGGGUUCAAAUUAAAGAGCUAUUAAAUGUUCAUCUCA